rnacentral:lncRNA from 1 species
GUUGAUUGGUAGGUGACUCAUUCGGAAUUUGUGAAUAUGUUAGGGUUGUGGUAAGCCUGUGGUUGCUGCAAACUUCCUUUGAGUUUUGAAUAACCACCUCUCACAACCUCAUUUCGCUUAGUCUCUCAGAAAACACUUGAAGACAUGAAUUUAGUGUCACAUACCACUAACUCUUUUCAGAGAAUUCACUUCCUUUUCACUAAAUCUACGUUUCCAACAAGGAUGUGAAGUGUAGCUAAAGGACACAUGUACAGGGCCUGAACUGCUGCAAGGAGAGCUGGACCGAGGAUCUUGAUACUGAGCAGUUACUGCUCAGCAGGAAUGAAGUCAUUAAACAAGAGCAGGUUCUGGAAAUGCCAGAAGUUCAAAAGAGCAAUGACCUGUUCAUGAAGGAUGUUCUAGAUACUGCAAUGGAACACCUGACUGAAAAUGACAUCAAGCUUUCGGUUCCAUGUGAGGAGAAUCCAGCGGGUCUACAUGGAGUAGUGGUCUAUGACCACAAAUCAAUCCCCCUGUCCUUUUAAUGCAACCUAAAGUGAAUGGGUUUAUUAAUUUCAUUUAGCAUUAAAACAUGUUCAUUUGAUGUCUUUAUUUUUGCUUGUUAAAUUCGAAUUGUAAAAAAAAAAAGUUAAAUGAUUUUAAACAGAUGAUUAGUAAUCAUGAUUUAAUAAUAAAGCAGGAUCCAAGAACGGCCGAGUCUUUGAG